CCUACGGGAGGCAGCAGUGGGGAAUCUUGCGCAAUGGGCGAAAGCCUGACGCAGCCAUGCCGCGUGUAUGAUGAAGGUCUUAGGAUUGUAAAAUACUUUCACCGGUGAAGAUAAUGACUGUAGCCGGAGAAGAAGCCCCGGCUAACUUCGUGCCAGCAGCCGCGGUAAUACGAAGGGGGCUAGCGUUGCUCGGAAUUACUGGGCGUAAAGGGAGCGUAGGCGGACAUUUAAGUCAGAGGUGAAAUCCCGGAGCUUAACUUCGGAACUGCCUUUGAUACUGGGUGUCUUGAGUGUGAGAGAGGUAUGUGGAACUCCGAGUGUAGAGGUGAAAUUCGUAGAUAUUCGGAAGAACACCAGUGGCGAAGGCGACAUACUGGCUCAUUACUGACGCUGAGGCUCGAAAGCGUGGGGAGCAAACAGGAUUAGAUACCCUGGUAGUCCACGCCGUAAACGAUGAUGNUAGUGUCGGUAGCUGUCUCUCGUGACGCNGCUACGCAUAGUACACNCGCCGUGGAGGUACGGUCGCGAGAUAACUACAAGAAGUAGAGCGNGAGACGUGCGACGCGACGACGAGGGAGAG
rnacentral:rRNA from 1 species